rnacentral:SRP_RNA from 1 species
GACCGGCCGCUGCGUAACAUACCAUCAUGAACCUCGUCAGAUCCGGAAGGAAGCAGCGAUAAGUGAAACGGUAUGUGUCGUGGAUCGAUCCCGGUCAGG